rnacentral:rRNA from 1 species
AUUGAACGCUGGCGGCAGGCCUAACACAUGCAAGUCGAACGAGUGGCGGACGGGUGAGUAAUGUCUGGGAAACUGCCCGAUGGAGGGGGAUAACUACUGGAAACGGUAGCUAAUACCGCAUACCAUCGGAUGUGCCCAGAUGGGAUUAGCUGGUAGGGGGGGUAACGGCUCACCUAGGCGACGAUCCCUAGCUGGUCUGAGAGGAUGACCGGCCACACGGGAACGGGGACACGGUCCAGACUCCUACGGGAGGCGGAAGUGGGAAAUAUUGGACAAUGGGCGCAAGCCUGAUGCAGCCAGGCGGGGUAGAGGAAGAGGGCCUUCGGGUUGUAAGGUACUUUCAGCGAGGAGGCGUUACUCGCAGAAGAAGCACCGGCUAACUACGUGCCAGCAGCCGCGGUAAUAC